GGAGAGGUGUCCGAGUGGUUUAAGGUGCAGCUCUCGAAAAGCUGUGUGGCGCAAGUCACCGUGGGUUCGAAUCCCACCCUCUCCGCCA
rnacentral:tRNA from 1 species